rnacentral:rRNA from 1 species
UUCCGGUUGAUCCUGCCGGACCUGACUGCUAUCGGAUUGAUACUAAGCCAUGCGAGCCUCUGUAGUAAUACAAGGCAGACGGCUCAGUAACGCGUAGUCAACCUACCCUAUGGACGGGGAUAACCUCGGGAAACUGAGAAUAAUACCCGAUAGAACAUUAUACCUGGAAUGGUUUAUGUUCCAAAUAAUUUAUUGCCGUAGGAUGGGACUGCGGCCUAUCAGUUUGUUGGUGAGGUAAUGGCCCACCAAGACUAUUACAGGUACGGGCUCUGAGAGGAGUAGCCCGGAGAUGGGUACUGAGACACGGACCCAGGCCCUAUGGGGCGCAGCAGGCGAGAAAACUUUGCAAUGUGCGAAAGCACGACAAGGUUAAUCCGAGUGGUUUCUGCUAAAGGAAUCUUUUGUUAGUCCUAAAAACACUAGUGAAUAAGGGGUGGGCAAGUUCUGGUGUCAGCCGCCGCGGUAAAACCAGCACCUCAAGUGGUCAGGAGGAUUAUUGGGCCUAAAGCAUCCGUAGCUUGCUCUGUAAGUUUCCGGUUAAAUCCAUUUGCUCAACAAAUGGGCUGCCGGAAAUACUACAAGACUAGGGAGUGGGAGAGGUAGACGGUACUCGGUAGGAAGGGGUAAAAUCCUUUGAUCUAUUGAUGACCACCUGUGGCGAAGGCGGUCUACCAGAACACGUCCGACGGUGAGGGAUGAAAGCUGGGGGAGCAAACCGGAUUAGAUACCCGGGUAGUCCCAGCUGUAAACUAUGCAAACUCGGUGAUGCAUUGGCUUGAUGCCAAUGCAGUGCCGCAGGGAAGCCGUUAAGUUUGCCGCCUGGGAAGUACGUACGCAAGUAUGAAACUUAAAGGAAUUGGCGGGGGAGCACCACAAGGGGUGAAGCCUGCGGUUCAAUUGGAUUCAACGCCGGA